CACGCAAGCGUCCAUAGGAAAGCAUUGAUAAUGCUUUCCUAUGUGACCGGCUGAAUGUGCGCGCAGCUCUUGUCGCGCGUGCGCAUUCAGCCGACGGGGAGGAGAAGAAGAGCUCCCCGCCCAGCCUCAAUUCCCACAUUCAUGAAACACCACAUAUUAGUUUGUACCCUAUAGCAACCUGGCUGUUUUUUUGGUUGUUGUUUUAGAUUGCAGUAUUAAAGGCCCACUAUAGUGCCAGUAAAACAUACUCGUUUUCCUGGCACUAUAGUGCACUGUGGGUGCCCAGACCCUCAGGGACUCCCUCCCGCCCGGCUCUGGGGAGAAGAAGGGGGUUAAAACUUACCUUUCUCCAGCGCUGGGCGGGGAGCUCUUCUCCUCCGAUCCUCCUCCGUUCCUCCCAUUCGGCUGAAUGCGCACGCGCGGCAAGAGCUGCACGCACAUUCAGCCAGUCUCAUAGGAAAGCAUUCAUAAUGCU